AAUGUUUGAUCCCGUUGACUUUUUAGUACAUGUUUGACCGUUCGUCUUAUUCAGAAAAUUUGAGUAAUUAUUAAUUCUUUUCCUAUCAUUUGAUUCAUUGUUAAAUAUAUUUUUAUGUAGGUAUACAAUUUUACAUAUUUCACAAAAGUUUUUAAAUAAGACGAACGGUCAAACAUGUGCUAAAAAGUCAACGGUGUCAAACAUU
rnacentral:pre_miRNA from 1 species